UACGUAGGUGGCAAGCGUUGUCCGGAUUCAUUGGGCGUAAAGGGUGUGUAGGUGGCGCGCUAAGUCGGGUGUGAAAUUUCGGAGCUUAACUCCGAAACUGCAUUCGAUACUGGCGUGCUUGAGGACUGGAGAGGAGACUGGAAUUUACGGUGUAGCAGUGAAAUGCGUAGAUAUCGUAAGGAAGACCAGUGGCGAAGGCGGGUCUCUGGACAGUUCCUGACACUGAGACACGAAGGCCAGGGGAGCAAACGGG
rnacentral:rRNA from 1 species